GACGAACGCUGGCGGCGUGCUUAACACAUGCAAGUCGAACGGAAAGGCCCUGCUUUUGUGGGGUGCUCGAGUGGCGAACGGGUGAGUAACACGUGAGUAACCUGCCCUUGACUUUGGGAUAACUUCAGGAAACUGGGGCUAAUACCGGAUAGGAGCUCCUGCUGCAUGGUGGGGGUUGGAAAGUUUCGGCGGUUGGGGAUGGACUCGCGGCUUAUCAGCUAGUUGGUGGGGUAGUGGCUUACCAAGGCUUGGACGGGUAGCCGGCCUGAGAGGGUGCCCGGCAGCAGGGGAAGAGGGAGGCGGGCCAGAGGCCUACGGGAGGCAGCAGUAGGGAAGGGUCGGCAGUGGGCGGAAGGUGGGCGGAGCGCCGCCGGGUGAGAGAUGGAGUUCUUCGGAGCGGAAAACUGUGUGAUUAGGGAAGAACAAAGGUGGAAGGAACUAUGCACGGCGUGACGGUAGCUAAUCAGAAAGCCACGGCUAACUACGUG
rnacentral:rRNA from 1 species